AAUCAAAUCACUUGAAAAAAGCGGAGAGAUGAUAAUUGCCCAUUUUCGAAAAGCAAUAGAACGCACCAGUUGGCGGAUAACGUCACGGGAAUUCAGUUAUUCAAACCGUACAAAGAUGGCUGAAGCCAAAAGUAAGGUAUCUGUCUGUGGAGCAAGCAAAUUGAAAGAUACAUCACGAAAAGGUGAACUGGAACCACUAUUGAAAACAGGAUGGUCAUUGCUAGAGGAUCGAGAUGCCAUAUACAAACAGUUCAGAUUUAAGAACUUUAACCAGGCAUUCGGUUUUAUGACAAGAAUUGCCUUGCAGUCAGAAAAAAUGGAUCACCAUCCAGAGUGGUUCAAUGUUUACAACAAAGUUGAUGUCACACUCACUACACAUGUUUGUCAGGGCCUUUCUGACAAGGACAUUGCAUUAGCUAAAUUUAUUGGUGUAGUAGAAAGAUCUAUGAAAUAGACCUAACAGCUGUUAAUCAACAAUUACUUUGCAUAAAUUUCAAAAAAUGUGUUGGUAUGUAAAUCAAAAUGAGUUUCCUUGUUUUGGAAGUAUACCGAAGGCUGCUGCUUUGCGAUUUUUGGUAAGCAUUCUGUCAUCAAGAAUAUGUAAUCUUUGUCUAAGCCAUUCAAUGAGUAAAUUCCCCAUCCCUUGCAAAAAAUCAACUACCAAGGUUUACCAAAAUCACCAGCUAUAUUUUUUAGCACACCAUACAAAGAUAUUAUGCAUAUGCAAUAUGAUGAAAUAUAGCCACUGUAAUGGGGCCCAGUACAGAAAAUAAAACCCCAUUUAGUUUUUUUAGACUUUUGUUUAUCUAACAACUAAUUCUAUUAGAAUUCAUCAAAAUGAAUUAAAUAACUUUUAUAAAAGCUCUAAAUGUGUAUGAUUUUUCCAAAAAUGUGUUUCUCUUUAAGGGUUUACAAGUUUUUGAAGAGAAAGACAGAUCAUUAUGAGACUAAGCGCUUAAAUUUUAUACACAGUACAAGCAACCAAAACAUAAAAGGUACAUUAUAAAACACAAAAAGAGAACUGACAAAUGUUGCAAAUAAAUUCAUGUUUCAAUUAGAGUCUCAAAGUUAUACUUAACAUGAAAGUAGUUGCAUGCAAGUUGAUUCAUCCAACUGCUUGCAAAAAAGUAACAGUCAGUGAAGGUGUAAGGAAACUAACAUGUCAGAUACACAGAAAUAUACCAAAGCAAUCCAUAAUAUGGACAGAGAUUAACAUCAAUAGCAAUAUUUUCUAUACUAAUAACAACUAGAAUUUUCAAAAGUGAAAGCAGGCAAAUAAAUAAAAAUUUCACAUAAAACAACAUAUCAAAAGACAACCUUUUUUUCUCUGAAAGCUGGAUUUUCCAGGGAAUCAAACAAUUUUUGAGUAAUUUUAGUUUCAAGUUUUUUAAAAAGAUGUCUAUACAGAAAUUAUUUUUGAUUCAGGUGAAUAUCUGUUAAGGCCAAUUAAUGAUUCUUGAAAAAGCUAGCUUUAGUAGUUUAAAGCUGUGGCAUUUUUGGGAAUUCAAUUGUACAAAUCAAGGGUACAAACAACUCUUAAACUAACAAUUAGUUUGAAACUUUUAAUUAUAAACCUUUGACAUAAUUGAUACAUUCAGUUGUAUUUUAGUUCUUCCACAUUAAAGAUUUCCUCAAAUAAAUCAAUGCUGUGUGGAGAUUUACCUACAAAAUGGAAUUAUUUAACUCUAGUGUAUUACUGACACGGUUUUCUGGGUCCUGAAAUCACAACCCAUAGAAGCCUAAGCUUUUUACAUCUAUUCAGAAAUCAAUUUGGGGUAUCUUGUCAGAAAUCUUGUCAGUUUGUGCCUUUUGGUCUUUAACAUAUUGUAAAAUGGAAUCAGAAUCUCUAGAAGAACAAUCUGCAUUCUCUUUUGGACUCAACUGGUUAUUUUGCAGUUUAUUGGUAGGAGACUCAUUCUUCUCCUCUGAUUCAAUUGGUGCCUCUGCAUCUCCCUCCAGCUCAGGUUCUUCUUCCUCCUAAGAAUAAAAUACAAAACAGUAAAAUAGAAGUAAUGGAUUCUGAUGUUAGAAAGCGUAGCU